rnacentral:ncRNA from 2 species
CGAGGCCACUCUGGAAAGAAGGCACUGCGGGUGCCUCACCCAAGGUGUAAGCCGUGCGCGCUCGCACGGUGAAACUCUCAGGUGCCCAUGACAGAGGGGGAGUU